ensembl:snRNA U2 U2 spliceosomal RNA
AUUGCUUCUCGGCCUUUUGGCUAAGAUCAAGUGUAGGAAAUGUAUUUUUUUUGUUAAAAAGUAUUUGCAAGGGAAAAAAGUCACAUUUUUGGCCAUAGGGAUGGGACCUUAU